rnacentral:rRNA from 1 species
GAUGCGUCUGGAAAGAUUUAUUGGUCUGGGAUGGGCUCGCGGCCUAUCAGCUUGUUGGUGGGGUAAUGGCCUACCAAGGCGACGACGGGUAGCCGGCCUGAGAGGGCGACCGGCCACACUGGGACUGAGACACGGCCCAGACUCCUACGGGAGGCAGCAGUGGGGAAUAUUGCGCAAUGGGCGAAAGCCUGACGCAGCGACGCCGCGUGAGGGAUGAAGGCCUUCGGGUUGUAAACCUCUUUCAGCAGGGAAGAAGCGAAAGUGACGGUACCUGCAGAAGAAGCACCGGCUAACUACGUGCCAGCAGCCGCGGUAAUACGUAGGGUGCAAGCGUUGUCCGGAAUUAUUGGGCGUAAAGAGCUCGUAGGUGGUUUGUCGCGUCUGCUGUGAAAACUCGGGGCUUAACUCCGGGCCUGCAGUGGGUACGGGCAGACUAGAGUGUGGUAGGGGAGACUGGAAUUCCUGGUGUAGCGGUGAAAUGCGCAGAUAUCAGGAGGAACACCGGUGGCGAAGGCGGGUCUCUGGGCCAUAACUGACACUGAGGAGCGAAAGCGUGGGGAGCGAACAGGAUUAGAUACCCUGGUAGUCCACGCCGUAAACGUUGGGCGCUAGGUGUGGGGCUCUUUCCACGAGUUCCGUGCCGCAGCAAACGCAUUAAGCGCCCCGCC